rnacentral:rRNA from 1 species
AGAGUUUGAUCAUGGCUCAGAACGAACGCUGGCGGCGUGCUUAACACAUGCAAGUCGAACGUGAUCCAGAGCUUGCUCUGGUGAAAGUGGCGCACGGGUGAGUAACGCGUGGAUAACCUGCCCUGGUAUCUGGGAUAACAUCUCGAAAGGGGUGCUAAUACCGGAUAAGCCUACGGGGUCCUCGGACUCUGCAGGAAAAGGUGGCCUCUAUUUAUAAGCUACCGUAUCAGGAUGGGUCCGCGUACCAUUAGCUAGUUGGUGGGGUAAUGGCCCACCAAGGCGACCAUGGUUAGCUGGUCUGAGAGGAUGAUCAGCCACACUGGAACUGAGACACGGUCCAGACUCCUACGGGAGGCAGCAGUGGGGAAUUUUGCGCAAUGGGGGAAACCCUGACGCAGCAACGCCGCGUGAGUGAUGAAGGCUUUCGGGUCGUAAAGCUCUGUCAGAGGGGAAGAAAUGAGCCUGGCUAAUAUCCAGGUUUCUUGACGGUACCCUCAAAGGAAGCACCGGCUAACUCCGUGCCAGCAGCCGCGGUAAUUC